AAAGUAGCCUAUGCCACGGCCAUGGAUUGGUUCAUCGCUGUGUGUUUCGCCUUC
rfam:Gasterosteus aculeatus cont1.005909, whole genome shotgun sequence.